rnacentral:misc_RNA from 1 species
CUCACUCCUGUAUGUAGGAGAUCAUUUCAAGUGGGCACAAUAUCAGCAGUAUAUCCUUGAAGAUAACAUAUUAAUUAAGUAAGAUUUCAUCUGCAUAUACCAAAUACACAUUCAUAAAAUUUAUUUACUGGCAUUAAAUAUGGUAUUCACAUCAUUUUUCAAAAUUUCAUAAUUCAUAAAUGUACUUAAUUUUUAACCCUAAUUUUUCUAGUAAAUUUACCUGAAUCACAAAUGAAGUGUUAUAUCAUGCAUUUUGCAUAAAGCAUUCCUCUUAUGAAUUGAUUUUGCUGAUAACAAACAUUUUGCCUCCAAUUUGCACAAAACUGAAUUUUAUUAUGUCAAGUCCUUCUUUGAAAAAGUAGCUGACAAAGGAAAGUGAAUACAUGUUUUACAUGAAGUAUACUUAAUUAAAUAAUUCCAGUAACUCUCAUUGCAGGCCACUGUCAAUACAUGUAUUAACAUACACAGAAAUCUUUGUGACAUUUCUCAUCAAUAUUUUCCUGGCGUAGUUGAUUCAGCAUGUAUAAUAUCAUCAUUUCAGUGCUUGUUAUCAAGAAAUGCUUUCAAAAUUAAAGGUUGAAAAAUU